rnacentral:rRNA from 1 species
GUGGCGAACGGGUGAGUAACACGUAGGGAACCUGCCCCUAAGACGAGGAUAACUACUGGAAACGGUAGCUAAUACUGGAUAGGAUAAGUUGACGCAUGUUGGCUUAUUUAAAGGUGCCUAUAAAGCACCGCUUAGGGAUGGCCCUGCGGCGCAUUAGCUAGUUGGUGGGGUAACGGCCUACCAAGGCGACGAUGCGUAGCUGUGCUGAGAGGCAGAACAGCCACACUGGGACUGAGACACGGCCCAGACUCCUACGGGAGGCAGCAGUAGGGAAUUUUCGGCAAUGGGGGGAACCCUGACCGAGCGAUGCCGCGUGAGUGAUGAAGGUCUUCGGACUGUAAAACUCUGUUAUUAGGGAAGAAUACUAUAGGGAGGAAAUGCCUUAUAGAUGACGGUACCUAAUGAGGAAGCCCCGGCCAACUAUGUGCCAGCAGCCGCGGUAAUACAUAGGGGGCGAGCGUUAUCCGGAAUUACUGGGCGUAAAGGGUGCGUAGGCGGUUUCUUAAGUCUAGUGUGAAAGCCCACG